GGAUGUGAGGGCGAUCUGUCUGCGACAUCUGUCAGCCCAUUGAUCGCCAUGGUUGAUUCGGCUGAUCUGGCUGGCUAGGCGGGUGUCCCCUUCCUCCCUCACCGCUCCAUGUGUGGCCUCCGAAAGCUGUGUGCUCCAUUGAACAGGACAGCCUUCCCCGAAUAGAGGCGGACUGGUCUUUGGUCGAGGGUAUACAAAUAGCUGCGCUCCCCUGAUAGAAUCUCCAAACAAGCUCUCAAGGAUGUGUUGAGAUGAGGGGAAGAACAAGGAUGGAUCAUAAAUAAGGAAGUGGCAUAAAUUA
rnacentral:snRNA from 1 species